AGCAGUAUCCAUCAUUAUGCACCUCAACUUUUGGUUCGUACCAGAGGAAUUUAAACCAUCAACAUAUCAUGAAAAUGCGCUUCAUGCAAUGGCAGAACUCAUGGGUGUGUGAGGCGUAGCCCUAGCUCGAUCAUCAGACUCGAGGAUGGACGCUCUUAAGAAACGUAAUGGUUUGAAGUUGGUAUGAUAUACCUGCGUCUUGGUAUUCGAGGGGGUCUUCUUUCAUAGUCUUCACUUAUUCUUCCAUGUAAGUUUUCUUCCCCCAGCAUCUGCCAUGGCUCAAAUGCUCUCUUGCACCAUGAACUAACAGAAAGCACAAGAGCUGACGCAUGCACGUGUAUCAGCCCAAUGUCAGGCCAGGCCGCAUUUCUCUUGGCUAAGUACCUGGUGGCUAUUGCAUUUUAAUUAUUUGGUAUUAGUCAUCAUUAAUAUUGCAUUGCUCUUCCCCACAGCAUCUGGCUAUACAUAGCUAUAUAUUCCUUUUGCCCUGUUGUUUGUUUGCGCACGCCUGUAAUCGAUUAUAAACUUCAACCAGGCAGGGGAUGCCACAAUAUCAGGAUGUCAAGCUUCACUUUGGUUGGUUUUGUAGCGUCAUUUUGAAAGACUGACGCCUAAACUUUUCUACUUAAACUAAUUAAUUCCUCCAAGUUCUGAAGUCAUUGCUCAAUGCCAUCAAAGCCAAAGCUUUUAUCACACACACACAUAUAUAUAUAUGUUCGCUUCCACAGUACUCCGAUGACUUUGCAUGACCGCCUCCCUCUCCCGCUAAUUAGCUGAGACGUCAAAUUGGCAUUUACUGACAUGUUCACAAAUUUGCCAAACAUUUCCUGUGAGCCUCACGAUUACAAAGUUCAGUUCUCUAGCUAUGGGGGCAAUAUUUUUUCUCUCCACAUAAUCUCUGUAAGGAAUGAGACGACAUAUGCUGUAAUCCACUUUACUUUUUUUUUUUUUUUUGGUAGAUAUCCACUUUACUAUUUUGUUAGAUGACUUUAUUCAUUUUACGUCGCAAAUUUGAAUUUCUUACGUACGCACCCAUGAACCAAAGUUAUAUAUUUUUCUUUUUGAAGUUGAAGAUGCUGGCACAGAAUGGCAGGAUAUUGGUAGCCAACUUAGCUGGAAGUUGUGUAUCCUUACCUGGUUAAAGGUUCCACAGGUCAAUCUGGCAACUGGAGGUGGACGUGGAGGCAUAUUCCUGCUGCGCAAUUUCUGGCCUUUUGGCUUGAUGAUCGUUUGCCUGGAUAGUGACAGGACCAUCCACAUGGAGCAGUGCUGCAUUAGGACAGGUGGCUUCCUUGGAAGCAUCUUGCUGGUGACUGCUGAGCUGAGAAGCCACAAAUUUAUCAAGAAGUCGCCAAUCAGUCACUUGAUCAUUGUUUCCACAAGCUAACACUGGACACUGAGUAAGGAACUUUGGGGCUUUCAAGUUGGGGAAGCUGAAGGAAAACUUCAUGGGGAUGGGUUAUGUUGUACUGCAACUGAAGUUCCUGCUUGCAAGGUACAUAGUAGUGAUGGUGGUUGUAAUU